rnacentral:rRNA from 1 species
CCUACGGGGGGCGGCAGUAGGGAAUUUUCGGCAAUGGGGGCAACCCUGACCGAGCAAUGCCGCGUGAAUGAUGAAGGUCUUCGGAUCGUAAAGUUCUGUUAUCAGGAAAGAACGACAUAGAGAGUGGAAAGCUCUAUGCAUGACGGUACCUGAUUAGAAAGCCCCGGCUAACUAUGUGCCAGCAGCCCCGGUC